UACGAAGGGGGCUAGCGUUGUUCGGAAUCACUGGGCGUAAAGGGCGCGUAGGCGGCCGAUCAAGUCGGGGGUGAAAGCCUGUGGCUCAACCACAGAAUUGCCUUCGAUACUGUUUGGCUUGAGACCGGAAGAGGUAAGUGGAACUGCGAGUGUGGAGGUGAAAUUCGUAGAUAUUCGCAAGAACACCAGUGGCGAAGGCGGCUUACUGGUCCGGUUCUGACGCUGAGGCGCGAAAGCGUGGGGAGCAAACAGG
rnacentral:rRNA from 1 species